AUUGAACGCUGGCGGCAGGCCUAACACAUGCAAGUCGAACGAGUGGCGGACGGGUGAGUAAUGUCUGGGAAACUGCCCGAUGGAGGGGGAUAACUACUGGAAACGGUAGCUAAUACCGCAUACCAUCGGAUGUGCCCAGAUGGGAUUAGCUAGUAGGUGGGGUAACGGCUAACCUAGGCGUCGAUCCCAAGCUGGGGUGAGAGGAUUACCAGCCACCCUUGAACUGAGACACGGUGCAUGCUCCUAGGGGAGGUUGCAGUGGGGCAUAUGGCACAGUGGGCGCAUGCCUGAUGCAGCCAUGCGGCGUGUAUGAAGAAGGCCUGCGGGUUGUUAAGUACUUUCAGCGAGGAGGCGUUACUCGCAGAAGAAGCACCGGCUAACUCCGUGCCAGCAGCCGCGGUAAUAC
rnacentral:rRNA from 1 species